rnacentral:rRNA from 1 species
UACAGAGACUGCAAGCGUUAUUCGGAUUCACUGGGCGUAAAGAGCGUGUAGGCGGCUUUACAGGUCCGUUGUGAAAACUCGAGGCUCAACCUCGAGACGCCGGUGGAAACCGUAAAGCUAGAGUCCGGAAGAGGAGAGUGGAAUUCCUGGUGUAGCGGUGAAAUGCGCAGAUAUCAGGAAGAACACCCGUGGCGAAGGCGGCUCUCUGGGACGGUACUGACGCUGAGACGCGAAAGCGUGGGGAGCAAACAGG